AUAGAAGUGCUUGCAUAUUCAUGGUAUCAUUUUAGUAGGUGUUACCUCCUUUUAACUCCUGAGGAAAUGGUCUCAGAAAGAUGUAGCAAUUAGCUUUAGGUCACAGCUAGUAAGUAGAAGGGCAGACCCUCAACCUGAGGCUUCCUGAAGCCUGAGCCUAGGCUCUCCCCGGCAGCUGCAUUCCUGCACACCUGGCCCAGCAGGAGAAGGGCAGCUCUGCAUGCCUCCCUCCACAGCAGCCUGGAGCUGGCUUUGUGGCCCUGUGAGAACACAAAGCUCUGCCCAGCGCCUCGCUGUGCCUGCUGUGGGCCCUGUAGUGUCUGUCUCCCCAGUCCCGGCCCCUCUCACCUCCCAGCUCACCAGAGGCCCCCUUUACUUAGCCUCCCUUACUGGCCGGUUGCUUCGAUCAUCUGGCUUCUUACCUGCUAGCCAACAAGCGUGUGCCAAGCUCUACUCCUACAGUCUGCAAGGCUACAGGUGAGCUCCUCCCAGGGAGGGGAGAGGAGAGGCAGAAGAGAGAAGGCCUGGGUGUCAGGGAGGUGACAGUCAGUGGGAAGCGCUUGUGAUUCUCCUUUCCCACGGCCUCCCUUUCCCCAGCUGUUUCUUGGGAGCUAAGCGGGCCUGAGGAGACUCAGAGCCCUCUUCCCCCACUUCCAUCUUCCACAGCUGGCUGGAGGAGACACUGCCGCUCUGGGGCUCCCACCUGCUCACCGUGGUGCGGCCCAGCUGGCAGCUGGCCUGGGCUCACACCAAUGCCACAGUCAGCUUCCUUUCUGCCCACUGUGCCUCUUACCUUGCCUGGUUUGGUGACAGCCUCACCAGCCUCUCUCAGAGGCUACAGAUCCAGCUCCCUGAUUUUGUGAACCAGCUAUUCCGCUAUCUGAGAGAGCUGCCCCUGCUUUUCUACCAGAAUGUGCUGCUGCCAUUGUGGCACCUCUUGCUUGAGGCCCUGGCCCGGGCCCAGGAGCACUGCCAUGAGGCAUGCAGAGGUGAGGUGACCUGGGACUGCAUGAAGACACAGCUCAGUGAGGCUGUCCACUGGACCUGGCUUUACCUACAGGACAUUACAGUGGCUUUCUUGGACUGGGCACUUGCCCUGACACCCCAGCAGUAGGCCCUGCCUCCCUGGCCACUGAUUUCUGCGUGGGUAGACCAUCCAAGACUGCAGCGGGUAGAACGUGACAGUUCUUCAUGGGAGUCUUUUUAACUUGGUGCCUGAGUUCUCUCCUAGGCAAGUGGCCAGUUGCCUCCACCUCAGUUCUUCCAUCUUUGGUGGGGACAGGGCCCAGCGGCAUCUCAGCCUCCUACCCACAAUUCCACUGAACACUUUUCUGGCCCUACUGCACAUGGCCCCCAGCCUCCAUCCUUGUGCUGGUAGCCUCUCACAACUCCGCCCUUGCCCUCUGCCUUCCACUUCCUUCCAUCUCAUUUCUAAACCCCAAACAGCUCAUCUCUAAAAAGAUAGAACUCCCAGCAGGUGGCUUCUGUGUUCUUCUGACAAAUGAUUCCUGCUUCUCCAGACUUUAGCAGCCUCCUGUUCCCAUUCUUGGUCACAGCUCUAGCCACAGCAGAAGGAAAGGGGCUUCCAGAAGAAUAUAGCACCGCGUUGGGGAACAGCAGCCUCACCUCCACCUGAAGCCUGGGUGUGGCUGUCAGUGGACGUGGGGAGCUGGAUGGAAAUGUCUCUCACUUCAAAAUGCCCAGCCUGCCCCAAAUGCCUCUAAGCCCCUCCCUGUCCCCUCCCUUGUAGUCCUACUUCUUCCAACUUUCCAUUCCCCAUCAUGCUGGGGGGCUCGGUCACAAGGUUCAGCUUCUCUCCACUGUCCAUCCCUCCUAUCAUCUGGAGAGCAGAGCCCAGGUAGUUGUGUGCCUUGGGCCCAGGGAACCCUCCAUCAGCCUGAGACAGGACUCAGCAUAUGGUUCUUGGGUACACCCUACCAGGUGGAAUAAAGGACACAGAUUUG
rnacentral:sRNA from 1 species